GGUCUAAUAGUGUAGUGGUUAUCACAAUGGAUUCUGAUGACGUGAAUUCCAUUAACCCAGGUUCGAGUCCUGGUUAGACCU